UGGUGAAAUUCUUGGACCGUCGCAAGACGGACAGAAGCGAAAGCAUUUGCCAAAAACGUUUUCAUUGAUCAAGAACGAAAGUUAGAGGUUCGAAGGCGAUCAGAUACCGCCCUAGUUCUAACCAUAAACGAUGCCAGCUAGCGAUCCGCCGACGUUCCUCCGAUGACUCGGCGGGCAGCUUCCGGGAAACCAAAGCUUUUGGGUUCCGGGGGAAGUAUGGUUGCAAAGCUGAAACUUAAAGGAAUUGACGGAAGGGCACCACCAGGAGUGGAGCCUGCGGCUUAAUUUGACUCAACACGGGAAACCUCACCAGGCCCGGACACCGGAAGGAUUGACAGAUUGAGAGCUCUUUCUUGAUUCGGUGGGUGGUGGUGCAUGGCCGUUCUUAGUUG
rnacentral:rRNA from 1 species